UUUUCCCCAAUUUUCCCCUAUUUCCCCCAAUUUUCCCCCAAUUUUCCCCAUUUUUUCCCACUUUUCCCCAAUUUUUCCCUUUUUUCCCCAGAAUUUUCCCAAUUUUUCCAUUUUUUUCACAAUUUUUCCCCAAUUUUCCCUUUCUCCCCAGAUUUUUUUCCCAAUUUCCCCCAAAUUUCUCCCAUUUUUCCCCAAUUUUCCCCAAUUUUUCCCAAUUUUUCCCCAAUUUUCCCCCAAUUUUCCCCAUUUUUUCCCACUUUUCCCCGAUUAUUCCUUUUCCCCCAGAAUUUUCCCAAUUUUUCCAUUUUUUCCCCAUUUCCCCCAAAUUUCUCCCAUUUUUCCCGAUUUUUCCCCAGUUUUCCCCAAUUUUUCCCCAAUUUUUCCCUUUUUUCCGGAGAAUUUUCCCAAUUUUUCCAUUUUUUUCCCAAUUUCCCCCAAAUUUCUCCCAUUUUUCCUGAUUUUUCCCCAAUUUUCCCCAAUUUUUCCCCAAUUUUUCCCCAAUAUUUCCUCAAUUUUCCCCAUUUUUUCCCAUUUUCCCUUUUUUUCCCAGAAUUUCACCAAUUUUUCCCUUUUUUCUCCAUUUUUCCCCAAUUUCCCUUUUUUCCCCAGAAUUUUCCCAAUUUUUCCCCAAUUUUCCCCCAAUUUUUCAGAUUUUUUCCCACUUUUCCCCAAUUAUUCCCUUUUUUCCCAAGAAUUUUCCCAAUUUUUCCAUUUUUUUCCCAAUUUUUCCCCAAUUUUCCCUUUCUCCCCAGAUUUUUUUCCCAAUUUCCCCCAAAUUUCUCCCAUUUUCCCCAUUUUUCCCCCAGUUUUCCCCCAAUUUUCCCCAUUUUUUCCCAUUUUUCCCUUUUUCCCCCAGAAUUUCCCAAUUUACCAUUUUUUUCCCCAAUUUUCCCCAUUUUUUCCCAUUUUUCCCUUUUUCCCCCAGAAUUUCCCAAUUUACCAUUUUUUUCGCAAUUUUUCCCCAAUUUUCUCCCAUUUUUCCUGAUUUUUCCCCAAUUUUCCCUAAUUUUCCCCAAUUUUUCCCCAAUUUCCCCCCAAUUUUCCCCAUUUUCCCUUUUUUCCCCAGAAUUUUCCCAAAUUUUUCCCUUUUCCCCAAUUUUCCCUUUUUUCCAAGAAUUUUUCCCUUUUUUUCCCACUUUUUCCCUUUUUUUUCUUUAUUUUUUCCCUUUUUUCCCCAAAAUUUUCCCAGAAUUUCCCCAAUUUUCCUCAAUUUUUCCUUUUUUUCCCAGAAUUUUCCCAAUUUUUCUCUUUUGUUCUUCAAUUUUCCCCAAUUUUUCCCAAUUUUCCCCAAUUUUCCCAUUUUUCCCAAUUUUACCCCAUAUUUCCCAAUUUUUCCCUUUUUUCCCCCAAAUUUCCCCCCAAUUUCCCUCAAAUUUUCCCAAAAUUUCCCCAAUUUUUCCUUUUUUCCCCAGAAUUUCCCCAAUUUUCCCCCAAAUUUCCCCCCAAUUUCCCUCAAAUUUUCCCAAAAUUUCCCCAAUUUUUCCUUUUUUCCCCAGAAUUUCCCCAAUUUUCCCCAAUUUCCCCCAAUUUUCCCCAAUUUUUCCCAAUUUUUUCCUUUCUUCCCCAGAAUUUUCUCCAAUUUUCCCCAAAUUUUCCCCAAAUUUUCCCAAAUUUUCCCAAUUUUCCCCCAGUUUUCCCAUUUUUUCUUAAAUUUCCCCCAAUUUUCCCCAAUUUUUCCCAUUUUUUCCCCAAUUUCCCUUUUUUUCCCUGAAUUUUUCCCAAUUUCUCCCAUUUUUCCCAAUUUUCCCUUUUUCUCCCCCAGAAUUUUCCCCCGAUUUUCCCCAAUUUUUCCCAAUUUCCUCCAAUUUUUCUUAAAUUCCCCCACUUUUCCCCAAUUUUACCCCAAAUUUCCCAAUUUUCCCCCCAAAUUUUACCAAUUUCCCCAAAUUUUCCCCAAAUUUCCCCAAAUUUCCCCAAAUUUUCCCAAAUUUCCCCAAUUUUUCCCAAUUUUUCCCAGAUUUUUCCCCAAUUUUCCGGGUUUUUGCCCAUAAUUUCCCCAUUUUUCCCAAUUUUUCCCAAUUUCCCCCAAUUUUCCCCAAAUUUUCCCAAUUUUCCCAAUUUUUCCCUUUUUUUCCCAGAAUUUUGCCCAUUUUUUCCCAACUUUCCCAAUUUUAUCCAAUUUUUUCCAUUUUUUAACCCAGAAUUUUCCCAAUUUUUCCCCAAUUUCCCCCAAUUUCCCCCAAUUUUCCCCAAUUUCCCCCAAUUUUUCCCAAAUUUUCCCAAUUUUUUCCCAAUUUUCCCCAAUUUUCCCCAAUUUUCCCCAAUUUUUCCCAAUUUUUCCCAAUUUUCCCCCAAUUUUCCCUCCAAAAUUCCCAAAAUUUCCCCAAAAACUUCCCCAAAUUUCAUCAAAUUCCCUCAAUUUUCCCCAGGUUUGGGGAAAAAUUGGGAAAAAUUGGGGAAAAUUGGGGGAAAUUGGGGAAAAAUUGGGAAAAAUUGGGGAAAAUUGGGAAAAAUUGGGGAAAAAUUGGGAAAAUUCUGGGUUAAAAAAUGGAAAAAAUUGGAUAAAAUUGGGAAAGUUGGGAAAAAAUGGGCAAAAUUGGGGAAAAUUGGGGAAAAAUUGGGAAAAUUCUGGGUUAAAAAAUGGAAAAAAUUGGAUAAAAUUGGGAAAGUUGGGAAAAAAUGGGCAAAAUUCUGGGAAAAAAAGGGAAAA
rnacentral:lncRNA from 1 species